rnacentral:rRNA from 1 species
UACGUAGGUGGCAAGCGUUGUCCGGAAUUAUUGGGCGUAAAGCGCGCGCAGGCGGUCCUUUAAGUCUGAUGUGAAAGCCCACGGCUCAACCGUGGAGGGUCAUUGGAAACUGGGGGACUUGAGUGCAGAAGAGGAAAGCGGAAUUCCACGUGUAGCGGUGAAAUGCGUAGAGAUGUGGAGGAAUACCAGUGGCGAAGGCGGCUUUCUGGUCUGUAACUGACGCUAAGGCGCGAAAGCGUGGGGAGCAAACAGG